ACUCAAAUGAAUUGACGGGGGCCCGCACAAGCAGCGGAGCGUGUGGUUUAAUUCGAUGCAACACGAAGAACCUUACCAGGGCUUGACAUGCACGUGGUAGCGGAGCGAAAGCCGAGCGACCCUUCGGGGAGCGUGCACAGGUGCUGCAUGGCUGUCGUCAGCUCGUGCCGUGAGGUGUUGGGUUAAGUCCCCUAACGAGCGCAACCCCUGUUGCUAGUUAGAUCUUUCUAGCGAGACUGCCGGUACAAUACCGGAGGAAGGUGGGGAUGACGUCAAGUCAGCAUGGCCUUUAUGUCCUGGGCUACACACACGCUACAAUGGUCGGUACAGAGGGUAGCCAAGCCGCGAGGCGGAGCAAAUCUCAGAAAGCCGGCCCCAGUUCGGAUUGCAGGCUGCAACCCGCCUGCAUGAAGUCGGAGUUGCUAGUAACCGCUGGUCAGCCAUACAGCGGUGAAUACGUUCCCGGGCCUUGUACACACCGCCCGU
rnacentral:rRNA from 1 species